rnacentral:rRNA from 1 species
UAGCAGUAGGGAAUCUUCCACAAUGGGCGCAAGCCUGAUGGAGCAACGCCGCGUGUGUGAUGAAGGGUUUCGGCUCGUAAAACACUGUUAUAAGAGAAGAACGGCACUGAGAGUAACUGUUCAGUGUGUGACGGUAUCUUACCAGAAAGGAACGGCUAAAUACGUGCCAGCAGCCGCGGUAAUACGUAUGUUCCAAGCGUUAUCCGGAUUUAUUGGGCGUAAAGCGAGCGCAGACGGUUAUUUAAGUCUGAAGUGAAAGCCCUCAGCUCAACUGAGGAAUUGCUUUGGAAACUGGAUGACUUGAGUGCAGUAGAGGAAAGUGGAACUCCAUGUGUAGCGGUGGAAU